rnacentral:rRNA from 1 species
UUAGUGGCGGACGGGUGAGUAACGCGUGGGUAACCUGCCUUACACAGGGGGAUAACACUUAGAAAUAGGUGCUAAAACCGCAUAAGCGCACAGCUUCGCAUGAAGCGGUGUGAAAAACUCCGGUGGUGUAAGAUGGACCCGCGUCUGAUUAGCUUGUUGGCGGGGUAAAGGCUUACCAAGGCAAUGAUGCGUAGCCGAACUGAGAGGUUGAUCGGCCACAUUGGGACUGAGACACGGCCCAAACUCCUACGGGAGGCAGCAG